rnacentral:sRNA from 1 species
UUUAAGUAAUCCAGUAUAGUGUUGUAACUUCUAAAGGAGUAAAGAGUAAAGAGUACCUUUUAAUCAUUUUUUUCUUAAGUAAUCCACUUAUGUAUAUAAAAACUAGUUUUUUAUCCGCGGUAUACCGCGUGGACAAUUUUUUUUUUAAGUUAGUAUAUAUAAAAGUUUGCAAAUUGUAUCUAUUUAUAAAAUAUUUUUAUUUUAUAGUUUACAAUUGUUAUUAAGUAACGUUCUACCAAACCCGUCUCGCCAAUCCGCCCCGUAAAAAAAACUAUUUAUUUUAUUAAUGUUGAUCUUAUUUAUGAUAUGUUUAUGAAUCAUUAUCUAAAUAUUUUGUAAUUUUGUAUUAAUUAACUGCUAUCAAAUAUCUAUGUAGGUUGAUGCGUAUAAUCGAAUUGUUAUAGUCAUACAAAAAAACAAUAUCAAAAAUGAUAAUUUUGUAAUUUUUAAAUGAUGUUAAAUAUUUUGGAAGUUUUAUUUUAGUAACUAAUCGUGUAGUUAAUGUAGAGAGAUUUUGGAAAAAUAGUUAAAUGUCAAAUAUUUAAUUCGAAGAUUUACUUUCUAAUUAUCAAAAAUAAUUAUUAAAUGCCAGUGGCAGCCACUGUAAAUAAUUCUCAACUUGAGAAUUUAUUUCACAAAGUGGCUGCAAAAAUGUAUAUGUAGAUAUUAAAA